GAAAUGCGAUAAGUAAUAUGAAUUGCAGAAUUCAGUGAAUCAUCUAAUCUUUGAACGCACAUUGCGCCCGCCAGCACUCUGGCGGGCAUGCCUGUUCGAGCGUCAUUUCAACCCUCAGAACCCCUUGCGGGAUCUGGCGUUGGGGAUUGGCAUCCAGCCAGCCCCGAAAUCUAGUGGCGGUCCCUCCGCGACCUCCCCUGUGCAGUAGCGAUACCUCGCAGCGGGACAGCGGUCUGACCACGCCGUAAAACCCCCAACUUCUCAAGGUUGACCUCGAAUCAGGUAGGAAUACCCGCUGAACUUAAGC
rnacentral:misc_RNA from 1 species